rnacentral:lncRNA from 1 species
GCCGACGUCAUAGAGAUCUCGAGCAGUGAGGAUUCCGGAUCUGAAGUGUCGUUCAGCGCGGCGGAUAGAAAUUUUAUUGACUCGUUGCGUCCGUCUGCCCGUGCAGGAACCUCACUGCCAGAACCGCUAGAAGUCGAGCCGCUACAGACCGUUCCGUGGGACGUAGAUAUGGGUCGUGCCUCGCGUCUGGAGAGUUCUAGGGUGGGGGAGGCUGCCGCUGCGCAUACUUUGCACGAAGAGCGGCUAGAAAGUAAUAAUGCAGCCAGCGGUUUCGUUGGCGGGGGAGGUGGAGCGGGGGAGGAUAUCGAGUCCGCGUGGGUGUUUGAGGACGGCACCCCCGUUGACGAGGCGGGAGGUAGGAUGACAGCGAUUGCCGUCAACCGGCUGAAGCGGGUGUUCCGGUUGCCCGGCGCGGUGAAGCUGCGUCCGCUGACGGUAAAUUAGAAAGCUUCGAUUCUGCCAGCGGGUCAUGCCUCGAUGCACGAGGCCAUAUUCCGCGAGGGAGUGACCCUCCAGCUGGUGCCCAACCUUCAGAUUCUGCUGUGUGAGUUCGGCAUCGCCUUUGGGAAAGUGUGCCCCAACAUGUGGUGGUUACUGCUGUCGCUGAACUCGUUGUGGCGGUUGUCUGGUUGUGAAGGACCGACCGUGGCGGAGGUGUUGCAUUUCUAUGAACUGGUGUACGUGAAGCGCCAGGGUUGUAGAGGGCAAGUGAACCUCAGCCGUCGGCAAGGAGCGCCCAAGCUGAUCGAAAACCUGCGGGACUCAAUGUAGUACUGGCGAGGCUCGUUUUGUAUUUCCACGGCGGGAUGGGAGUACCAGGCGGGGUCUAACGAGGGGGAGCCGUCGUUUAGAAUUAAGUCAGAAUUUCAGCCCAUCCGAGGUUGUUUGUUGUUUCCGCUGAACACGACUGGCGUGGUUUCUGCUUUUUUUUUUUUUGUACUGUACUGAUAAUGACCUGUUUGUGCAGCCGGGUUGCGGUACAACCUAACUCGUGAGGAAGAGUGCCGGGUAGCACGCAUCAGGGGUUGCUGGCGGAAUCGCAACUUGCUGGACUUCCGUCUCCUUAGCGGGUGGGAGUUAUUGGUAGCUCAACAACUGACGCGUGCCGUUGGUAAGUAGUCUCAGCUGUAUUGUACCUUUGGUGAGGUUGUCCCAUGCUAACUGGAGUGGCAUUAAUUUUUGUAGAGACUCCGCCGGGAAACAAGGCUAGCCGUGACGCUUUCGCAAAAGCCAUGGACCACGCUGAAAUCAACAAUUUUCUUGAAGCCAUGUAUGCUUCUGGGAUGGCGGCGCAAAAGACGGCGGUGGACCCAGAGACACUGACGCUGAGCCAGUCAGAGGUUCCUGUGGUGAUGCUAAUACCGUACCACUCCCAUCUUGGUGGUGAUGGGCUGUUUGCUGUUCAGGCGGGGACUGGCGGGGUGAGUGAAGCGGCGCCUCGGAAAGAGAGAGCGCCGGCCCUGCGGCGAGGCGUGGUGAAGAAAACGGUGCGCCCCACCGAGGGUGUUACCAUAGCGGGGUUGGCACCGCCGGCGGGGGUUCGAGGCCUGCCGUUGCUAGGAGCACGCAGGUGCUCCAGCGAAAACGCCGUCAGCCCUACUCCUGUGGGGAAGAAGAGGAAGUGGAGGUAACGGGGGCCCGAGAGCAGCUGAAGAAGUCGAGGCAGGCCUCGCCCGAGGCCGCUGCUGACGUGGCGACAGAGGUGGGUACAAGCGGCCUGGACUCAUUUGCUGCCUACGCCGAGUUCCUCAACGACGGUGAGCGGGACUUCCUGUAUCACCUCUGGAAGCGGCUGGGAUUCGGCGGCUAGGAAGGGAUUGUUCGGUCGACCGCCGUCAGCGAGUCGCCCUUCAGCACAGCCUUUGGGCACGUCGCCGUUGGGCUUCAUGAGAUGUUCCAGGCAGCGUCCAAGCAGCCACUGGUUGAGCGGGAGCUGAAUGAGGAAGUGGCGGGCCUCCAGAGGGACUUGGGGAAGACCCAGGAGAAGCUGGCUGACGUCGAGCGACGUCUGACAAAGGCUGACUGCGAUGCGGCGGAUGCCAGGGGCAAGCUGAACGUUGCCAUCGAGCGGCACCUGGAUCAGAAUGAGCGAUACGCCAAGCUGGAGCAGGAUAUGUCCCUGGUGCGGGACCGGGUGACCGCGAAGGAGAAGAAAAUUGAGAUCCUUCAGCGGGAGUCCGCCGCUAAACAAGCGGAGAUCAAGCGGCUAGAGGGCAAAGUCGCUCGCCUGGAGGCUGAGGGAGGCUGUGCUGUGGCUGCCGCUGUUGAAUCGUACAAGCAGUCGGCAGAGCAUAAGAAGGCGCUGAACAACGCAGCCAAGGCCGGUGCCCUGGCCAAUGUAGAGAUGUUGCGGCAGAAGGGUGCCAUUGACUGGGCGAAAGAAGCAAUGCCGGUCGUGCAACCACGUAAGGAAGCGCCGCCAACAACCAGUACCGCUCCUACCGCCACACCUGGUCACGCUGGAGUCUGCUCGGGUAGUGGGGAGAGUGGCGAGCUUCCAGGAGGGGACUCCAAGCGGACGCCUACGCAGUCCGAGGUGUCCCGCGCUAGCUUCAUAGCGGCCCACACCCGGGCGGAUGGCACGAUAGAGACUCCCAGUCCCACAGCCCGAGGGUCCGACCAGACUAGCCGCUCCCAUCGUCCGCAGGCCGCCGGUGGAACUGUUGAAGGUAGCGGGGCCGACCUGACCAACCCUGCCGACCCCGC